UUUUCCAAAAAAAGAAGAUGCACAACUGGCAGGAGAACGAAAUCAAGGAACUUUUGACCCUUCGGGGGUCGGACGCGAUCCGUAACCAGAUCACGGGCACGGUGAAAGACUCCGUAGUUUACAACAGGAUGACCAAACUGCUGGCGGAGAGGGGGGUGUACAGGUCACACAUGCAGGUAAUCAGCAAACUGAAGGCGCUGAGGAAGCAAUACCUCAAGUACCACCAACUGAAGACCCGCUGCGGGAGCGACCGCGUAGACUGGCCAUUUUAUGAGCAGUGCCACAGAUGUUUCGGGAAUACUCCGGUGGGGAAUCCGAUGAAACGGUCCAGGAAUCCCACACCCCCACCUGCAUCCACGACCUCGCCGCCGCCUCCUUCAUGCACGUCGCCACCUGCCAUCAGCGAUGAGCAAGAGCAGGCUGCAGUCGGCCUCUGGGACGAAGUGGACGAGAGGGACAUAAACAAACACUUGGGUCCAGUGGAGGCAGAAGACGAUGAGGACCAGUACAGCCCAUCAGAACAGUUCCACACCAUCAACGCAAGUAAGCCAUACCAAAUUCCCCUGAAGAAAAAGAAAACAACGGUAAUGGAGCAAGUCUCUACUUUAGUGUCGGCAACAGUCGCUCAGCUCAGAGAGAUGGAUGCCGUCAUGCAGGCUCAGGAGGAUGCCCGGCUACAGAGAUUAAUGGACCAUGAGAAGGAAAUGCAGAACAAUCUAAUGAGCCAGCUUGUAGCCAUGCACGAAAGGAUCAGUCAAGAAAACCACGAGAGACACGUUGAACUUGUCAACAGGAUACUCUCAAGGUUCCCUUUACCUUCAGCUCCUUCAGGCCAUUGACUGAAUCUUCCAGUGCGAGUGCUGCAGAGUUAUGCAAGUCUACCGGACUCUCUUCUCCGACAGCUGACUAGUGCCUAAGCCCAAGAACAGAAAUCCUAGAUGUAAACCUGGACAGAUGAAACCAAAUCUCUCUCUGUGGCUAGAUACCACUACACAUCGAUGUUCCUCAGUGUGAAACACGAGACUAAGAACUGUCUGCAUGUGGCAUGAUGGAUGAUUCCAGACAGGUGCGACCAACAGACCGUGACAGGAACAGGCCCAUCAGUCCAUCUGGGUUUCAGCCUGGAAAGUCCGGCAGAUUUGGCAGAGAUCCUGAUCCUCCCUGGAGACCUGAGGUAGGUGGAGAGAAGGUUGGCUUCCUCCUGGGCAUUACUCCCACGCUUCCGCCUUGAAUGUACAGUACUUGAAUAACUAGUAGUCGAGCAGUAAUGCAGUAUGUUAUCUGAUUGGCAACCAGCUGGGCUUCUGCUUCUCUAAAGUGAAUGUUGAAAUACACGACAGAAUAAACGUAUGAAUUUAGUUUGUGACGAACACCUCGGCUUCUUAGGGGAAACUUUUCCUUUAUAAACUCUCUACAGUCUGUUGUAUAUGAAAAUAUCCUGCUGUGAAUAGUUCAGUUGCAGGUAGUGCAUAUAUUGUUUUAUUUUGUCUAACUGAUUUAUUUUUCUCAUGGUUAGUAUUUGUUAAUACAGCUCAGGGCACAUCAGGCCAGCUGAACAUGUCAGAUUUCUUUACAGUCAGACGUACAAAUCUGGAGACCGUUUGUAGUAGUUAAGGUAGUGUUUCAGGACCCCACAAAAGUACUGCCCAAAAUUAAAUAGGAAAUAGUAUUUCUACAGUAGGCUUGGCCCAAUUUUGUUUAUAGCCUAUGCUAUAUUCAAUUUAUAUCAAUGCUUGAUUUUACAACAGGGUUGAAUGGACAAGGUCCUCUUCAGAGUAAACAUGGAUGAUAGUCAUGUCUCCUUAUUUCAUAUUAAAUGAAGGGAUUUU